rnacentral:rRNA from 1 species
CAUUUGUCUUUUAAAUGAAGACUUGUAUGAACGGCAAAACCUCCUCCAACUGUCUCCCCUCCCAUCCUUCCAAAUUUCCUCCUGUGUGAAGAAGCACAGAUACACCAGAAAGACGAGAAGACCCUGUCGAGCUUUAACCACUAAGUGGGCCUUACCCUUUCAGGCACCACCCAAAGGUUUUGGUUGGGGCAACCACGGAGAAAAAACAUCCUCCAGAACGAAUAGAAGAAAGCUUUUCACUAUUAUUACGACUAAGAACCAGGAACUGGUAUUCGGAAAGAGUUACCGCAGGGAUAACAGCGUCAUCUUCUCUAAGAGUCCUUAUUGACGAGGAGGUUUGCGACCUCGAUGUUGGAUUGGGGCCCCCUUAGGGUGCAGAAGCUCUAAACGGUUAGACUGUUCGUCUAUUAAAGCCCUACAUGAUCUGAGUUCNAAACCGGAGAU